UUUUUUUUCAAAACAUGGUUUUUUGUUUAUAUAAAAGGAUCUGGCCUGCCCAAUGAUUUUUAAAUGGCUGCAGUAUUUUGACUGUACAAAGGUAGCAUAAUCAUUAGUCUUUUGAUUGAAGGCUGGUAUGAAUGGUUGGAUGAAAAGUAUACUUUCUUUAUUUUAUAAAAAUAAUUUAAUUUCUUAGUCAAAAAGCUAAGAUGAUUUUAUAGGACGAGAAGACCCUAUAGAACUUUACUUAUUUUUUAAGUAUAUAUUUUUAGUUUAUUAUAAAUUUAUAUUUAUAUAUAAGUUUCAUUGGGGUGAUGGAAAAAAUAUUAUAACUUUUUUUGGUUUUUACAUUUAUGUAUGUUUUUUGAUCCUUUAUUAUGGAAAAAAGAUUAAGUUACCUUAGGGAUAACAGCGUUAUUUUUUUGGAGAGUUCAUAUCGAUAAAAAAGUUUGCGACCUCGAUGUUGGAUUAAAAUAAGUGACAGGGGUAGAAUAUUGUCUGUUAGGUCUGUUCGACCUUUAAAUUUUUACAUGAUUGGUUUUUAAA
rnacentral:rRNA from 1 species